rnacentral:rRNA from 1 species
UACGUAGGUGGCAAGCGUUGUCCGGAUUUACUGGGCGUAAAGAGCGCGCAGGCGGUCGAAUAAGUCGAAUGUGAAAGCCCCCGGCUCAACUGGGGAGGGUCACGCGAUACUGAUCGACUGGAAGGCAGGAGAGGGAUGCGGAAUUCCAGGUGUAGCGGUGAAAUGCGUAGAUAUCUGGAGGAACACCGGUGGCGAAGGCGGCGUUCUGGACUGUUACUGACACUGAGGAACGAAAGCCAGGGGAGCAAACGGG